UUAGUUAAUAACAUAAUAUAAGUUUGUCAUACUUAAGUUAUCCCAAAGGAUA
rnacentral:tRNA from 1 species